AGUAAGAGCUGUCACAUGUUCACCACUAGAAGACCCUCAAAACCUCAACAUCUCCUGUGAAACUCAUCAAAGAAGGUUACAUGGAAGAACAAGUACCAAGCAUGCGAAGCAGGGUUUCAAAAACCAGGUGCCUGUAACACAAAACUGGCUUAGACUUGUUCUGAAUCAAGGAGAGGAAAAUGGAGUGACUGGAACUCUACAUGGAGCUGGUAGACUUGCCAAAUUGAGUGACAGACUGCACGUUUGAAUACGGUAAAAAUGAAAAGAAAAAAGAAAGCUUUACAUUUUUGCAGAUGGUUCCAAUUUUCUUCUCCGAAUGUAUUUUUUCUGCUCCGUUCUGGUCUUUCUUCCUUGUCUAAAAGAUGAUUCUAGAACAAAAUGCGUUUUGCUUCAUGAAGGUUUCUCACCAGUUUUCUGUUAGGAAGACUG
rnacentral:lncRNA from 1 species